AGAAAAGUAGAAAAAGAUUAUGAUGCCUUCAUAGAGCUGUAUCUUCCAUGUGAUUUAAAGGCCUGGGUCUAAAUUGGGAAUUAAUGAAUGUGGUGGUCAAAGUCAUCCAGGUCACUCUACCACAUGAGAUGGCAGCUCUCUGGUAUUACAUAUAUUUAAAGGAUUUACACUGACUCAAACCACACUGCUGUUACAAAGCCAUCUCAUUCUCAUAGAUAAAUUAUAUGGUGAGGCAAUGUCGAUUUUGAGCAGGAUAAAAAUUCACCAAACAGAGAUUUUUGUCUAUUAGUUUCUUUUUUACAGACGAAGUUUCUGUCCAUAUAUUCUCUCUACAUCCUGUCACCUUAGAGGUUUGGAUUUAAUUUAUGUGAGAAGGAAAAAAUAUUUUUUUAUAUCUGUGUUGCAGAAAAUUUUCAGCAGUAACCAGAAUUAUAGAGAAUACUUCCAAAGAACAUCCUUACACAUUGCCAGUCAUAAUGCUGUGGAUGCACAUAUUCAUAAGGAGACAGAUUUUUCCCUGUGCUUUUCUAGACACAUACAUCAAAUAAUAACCAUAACUCUUGCCAUAACUUGUAUAUCAUGACUGUUCAUGGCCCAGUGUUUGUAUGCUUGUUUGCAGAUUUAUAUCGGUGGCGAGGGAGCAUGCAGUGAUCAUGGAAAUUUGCUCUGUUUCUUUUACACAGACAUAAAGGACAACACAGGGAGCAAUGCAAUAGAGAAAGGCAUCUUUUGUCCUGUCACUAGCAAGUGGGAAGGUCAUAUGUAGAAGCUAGAAAAGAUGUUUUAGAUUACUAGAACUUACUUUUUCCUGGUUUUGGUUUGCUUGCUUAUUUGUUUGUUUCCUGCUUCGUUUUGGGGGAAGAUAUAUAACAAUCCACCCCGCUCAUGUUUUUCUGUGGUGUUUUUUUUUACUUUGAUGUCUAGAAGCAAUCCCAAGUGAACCGUUGAUGACGUUCAGAGGACUGCACUUUUAAAGCACUUCUGCCUAUCCACACUUGGAUCCACUGAGCAGAGCCACUGCUGGUGUCAGAUAUAUGUUAGUUGAACAAAAGGAGAAACGUUCAUUUCAAAUACAAUAUAGCCCAUGUUCUUUACCUGCAUGUUGUUGCUAAGGGAUUUGAUGAUUUCCACCUGCUCAUCAUUCUGCAGAAUCACACGAAACACCUUUUGCCUGAAAGGAGAGAAGAAGAUUGGAAUUGAAACAGGUAAGUCAAUUGAAAGGCUUUUGCUCAUGCAAAAGAAUUUGUGCAGAUAUAAAACCUGAUGUCUGUUCUUACCUAUCAAAGGCAAGAUCCUGCAGGUCAGCAGAAACAGCUGCAGCACCUACGAGAACCAAGAGCGCCCACAUUUUUUUUGUGAAGAAAAUUCAGUUCUUCUAUGCUGCUUUUAUAACCUGUUUUGUCCUGCUUUUUAUCAAUCAUAUAUCAGAACAAGCCACUGAGCAACUGAUAGAUUAUUCCUUUGGCCUCGUUUUAUGUGUGUACUCUUUAUGAUGUGUGUUUUACUCCACACCUGUGAAAACAGCUGAAAGUCUCAAGGGGGACCGGCUACAGAAUCUUGCUAUUGGGCUGUAUAAACUCUUGGUAUAAGAAAGUGAAUUUAAUUUACUUUGUUCUUUUCUGUUGGAUGUGAAUUUUGAACACUUCCCCCAUCCCCAAACCCCCAAAUGUUUGGUUGCUGAAUUACAGGCUUUAUAAUACUUCAUUGUUUCUUUAUGUAGUGGUAGAUGUCUGUGAGAUGUUGUUGCAGUGUAAAUGGUCUAAAUCACACAGAAUUAUCCAUUUUUCUGAAUGAUAUGGGGCUGACUGACAAAGGAAGAGGAAACACAAUUGGGAUGUACCAUUUAUCCUUUUUUUUUUCUUCACCUCCAACAGAAAAGUCCUGAAGUUGUUCUUUGCUGAGCCAUUUCACUGAAACUUCUCAGGUGUCUACAGAACUGAGAGU